GUGCUAACGUCCGUCGUGAAGAGGGAAACAACCCAGACCGCCAGCUAAGGUCCCAAAGUCAUGGUUAAGUGGGAAACGAUGUGGGAAGGCCCAGACAGCCAGGAUGUUGGCUUAGAAGCAGCCAUCAUUUAAAGAAAGCGUAAUAGCUCACUGGUCGAGUCGGCCUGCGCGGAAGAUGUAACGGGGCUAAACCAUGCACCGAAGCUGCGGCAGCGAACGUAUCACUUAAAGCGAUUCAGCGGGUUACGAUUGACGGAGCGAAGCGACGUCAAAGCGUAUACAAAGUCGAGUCGGUUUAAGGAUACGUUCGUUGGGUAGGGGAGCGUUCUGUAAGCCCGUGAAGGUGGCCUGUGAGGGUUGCUGGAGGUAUCAGAAGUGCGAAUGCUGACAUAAGUAACGAUAAAGCGGGUGAAAAGCCCGCUCGCCGGAAGACCAAGGGUUCCUGUCCAACGUUAAUCGGGGCAGGGUGAGUCGACCCCUAAGGCGAGGCCGAAAGGCGUAGUCGAUGGGAAACGGGUUAAUAUUCCCGUACUUGGUGUUACUGCGAAGGGGGGACGGAGAAGGCUAUGUUGGCCGGGCGACGGUUGUCCCGGUUUAAGCGUGUAGGUGUGUGUUCCAGGUAAAUCCGGUUCACUUUAACACUGAGGCGUGAUGACGAGGCACUACGGUGCUGAAGCAACAAAUGCCCUGCUUCCAGGAAAAGCCUCUAAGCAUCAGGUAACAUCAAAUCGUACCCCAAACCGACACAGGUGGUCAGGUAGAGAAUACCAAGGCGCUUGAGAGAACUCGGGUGAAGGAACUAGGCAAAAUGGUGCCGUAACUUCGGGAGAAGGCACGCUGACACGUAGGUGAAGUGAUUUACUCACGGAGCUGAAGUCAGUCGAAGAUACCAGCUGGCUGCAACUGUUUAUUAAAAACACAGCACUGUGCAAACACGAAAGUGGACGUAUACGGUGUGACGCCUGCCCGGUGCCGGAAGGUUAAUUGAUGGGGUCAGCGCAAGCGAAGCUCCUGAUCGAAGCCCCGGUAAACGGCGGCCGUAACUAUAACGGUCCUAAGGUAGCGAAAUUCCUUGUCGGGUAAGUUCCGACCUGCACGAAUGGCGU
rnacentral:rRNA from 1 species